UAACACCAUUAGUAGAUGGCGGAAUGCCUGUGAUGUAUUUGUGGAACCAAUACAUGGUGUAAAAAUGGGUUAAGUUGGAAAAAGAAAGUAUCCACAAUAUUCUUUAUGGUGGGUGUAAGGGAGAUAUAUGAAGACUUUUGCAAUAUGCUAAUACCUUUGCAAGUAAAGUGCUAAAGUUACAACAAAGUCUUAACCAGCUUCAAAUAUCUGAUAGUAAAGCUAUUGUGAGGGUUGACGAACCAAGCGAAGAAGAAGUGGAGGAAGAGGAAUGUGGAGAUGAAGAUGAAGCUGAUGACGAUGAUGAUGAAGAUGGAGACAAAGGCAAAGAUAAAGCUAAAGAUGCACAUAAUAAUGGAGAUAGGGAUGAAGAUGAAGACGAUGGUGGUUAUGAAGCUGCAGCUAGAGCUGGAUCUAAAGAAAAUGAGGAUGAAGGCUUCGAUAGUAAGGAAGAAACUAUAGAACUUUUGCCUAUUCAAGAAAGUGAUGAAAGACAAGAUGGCAAGAAGAGGAGGAGAACAGAUGAAAGCAUAAUGAUUUGAAGGUCUGAAAGGAAAAAGGUUGAGGUAAAUUGGUCACCUUUUCUGAAGGAACUAAUACAAGGGAGACUUAUCAAAGAAUAAUAAAUAUAUAAAUAUUGCACCAGGCGGACCAAUGAAGCAGAGGGUGAAGAGUAAGUAAUGUGAUAUUACUUUUUGAUAAUUAUGGUGCAUUAUAUUUGAUAUAAUAACACUUUUUUUGGUAGUUAUGUUAUUGAGAUGUACGAUUACUACCUAACUAGGGUCGAAUGCUGAAGUCUUAGUCCUAAAAAAUGGAUAAGUACAACGGUAUGUCUGAAAGUUUUAAUUAAUUAAUUGUUUAAUUGGAUAGUACAUUGAGUAUUGGAUGUGGUUUUUGUAGGUCAUAAGCAUGGUCGCAAAAGUGAUGGUUGGUGAGUAACUUCAUGAAGGGGAGGUAUGGAUGUACAUAUUUGAUUCAGAAUUUAUGGCCAACCUAAGGGAUAAAAAGUUAAGAUGGUCUAUUUUUGACGAUGCAAGGAUGCUCAUGCCUGAUAAACUUAGAUAUAACCUUGAAAAUUGUUAUUAUCUCUUCUUGGCCAUACUUGUGUUCAAUCACUGGUUUUGUUAUUGUGCUGAUCUAAAGAAUGAAAAAUUUUUCAUCCUUGAUUCAUUGGCUGGGAAGUUAUUUAGAGAGAAGAAGAUGAUAGUUGGAUUUAUGGUAUGCUUUGUUAAUGCUUUUGCAUAACUACUUGAGGUUACUUAAAUUUUUAGAUGGGAAUAGUUAUCUAAGAUUAGGAACUAUUUAUAGAGAACUCGCAUAAUUAAAUUGUUACAAGCAUGUGACCCAGAGAAAUAUGUAGAGGAUUUUCAGACAGAGAUGAUAUUUGAAGAACUUCUCAAACAAAGUAAUGUGUAAAUAACUAACUACGGAAAGAACUACCUUUUUAUGUAUUCAUUUCAAGUAGACAUUUUGCCUUAUCUUAAUUGCUCAUAUUUGUAAAAAUGAUUGUGGGGUAUAUGUAAUAAAGUACUGUGCAGAAUGGGAUAGUAGAAGAAGAAAAGGAGGACUGACCAUGGAGGACUUUUCAAAUGAACAAUUGAAACAUUUUAGGGUGGAUAUGAUAUGGUGGUUGGUAAAUCACAUGAGAAAUGAAGUGAGAAAUGAAGUUUUUGCCUCUAUCUCAAUAGCUAACCGACCAAAGAGGGCAGGAAAGAAGUCUAAAUGAAUUUUUAACCUGUGACCUGUUUUGAUCAUUAAUCUUUGAUGGGUGUGAUGUAUUUGCCUCGCUGAAGAGCUUGCUCUUCAUCAAUGUUUACCAUUUUGAUUUUGUAGAAAUUGCCUCUUCUUCAAUUUUUUUUUUCCUUGAGUGUCUUAGUUAAAGGUGAAGUAUAUAGUUUGUGCAAGUGAGGAUAUGCUCAAUUGAAUUUGAGGUUGUAACUAAAUUAUAGGGCUUAUAAGAAUAGGAUUUUUGGCUAUAAAAUUAAGCUAGCCUUUGUGGGAUAUGCUUGACUAAUUUUGUAUUCAAAACAUAUUAUUUGAUCAGAACUUUAUCA